rnacentral:rRNA from 1 species
CCCUUAGAUGUUCUGGGCCGCACGCGCGCUACACUGAGCCCUUCAUCGAGUUUACAACCUUGGCCGGUAGGUCUGGGUAAUCUUCUCAAAGGGGCUCGUGCUGGGGAUAGAUUAUUGUAAUUUUUAAUCUUCAACGAGGAAUUCCUAGUAAACGCAAGUCAACAGCUUGCAUUGAUUACGUCCCCGCCCUUUGUACACACCGCCCGUCGCUACUACCGAUUGAAUGGCUUAGUGAGCCCGAGGGACUGUUGCACCUAGAGGGUUUUCUCUCCAGGAGCAGCCGGGAACUCGGUCAAACUUGAUCAUUUAGAGGAAGUAAAAGUCGUAACA